UUCUGGAAUAUUUCUAACUGGUCAACUCGGAAACUAAAUCUAAAGCCACCGAUGUGUAGCCAACACAUGUCCUGUCAUAAGGAUAUAAGGCAUUUUGGGGGUCUCAAACUCCAGUCCUCGGGAUCCGGUAAACUGCAGUUGUUGGGUGUGCCACAGGUACAAAACACUGGAAUGAAAUGGCUUAAUUACCUUCUCCUUGUGUAGAUCAGUUCUCCUGAGCCUUAAUGACCUAAUUAUUCUAUUCAGGUGUGGUGCAGCAGAGGAACAGCUAAAAGUUGCAGGACACCUGCCCUUGAGGACUGGGGUUUGAUACCCCUGCUCUAUACAUAGGCUGUUUUGCCUUAAUAUUAUUUUUUGGAGAAGCCCAAAUGUUAUAUUAACUGCAUUAUGAAAAUAUAUUUCUUUGCAGACUUGAAGAGCACGAAACUGUGAAGAUCACCCAUCAACGAUUUGAAAAAGUAAAGCAACAACUACAGCCAGAUGCUUCAUGGAAGAUAUGCUGUGUGCGUGUUCUUGGAAAUGCAG